GUGGUGGAAAUGUUAAACCAUGAUAGCUUUUGCUACCAACUUUCAACCACUUAACUUUCAAAGCAGUAUAUUUGUUUUGGGAGGAUUUUGUGCUUCAUCUGAGUUUAGAAGUAAUGUCAGAAAAUGUUAAGCAUGUCCUUUUAAAGAAAAUAUAAGGUUUCUAAUUGUCUUAUUACCAUGGUAAUUUAAGUGAAUUUAGAAGUAUUUAACUGCAAUCUUGAAUUAUAAAGUUGGGAUGCAUAUAUAGAGAUAUAUAUAUCAAAAUCUCAACUUGAUGUAAAGUAAAUGAGCAGUUACCUGGCGGAUUUUUUUUUUUUUCAAAUAACUGUUUAAUCCAUAAUUCCAUAGCAGACUUAGCUUCACCUCAAUAUUUUUGUCCAUUCAUCAGUGCUCCAAUAAGAAAAUGAUAGGAAAUAGCUGAAAAUUACUAAAAG
rnacentral:lncRNA from 1 species